rnacentral:rRNA from 1 species
CUACGGCCGCUGCAGUGGGGAAUAUUGCACAAUGGAGGAAACUCUGAUGCAGCAACGCCGCGUGGAGGAUGACACUUUUCGGAGCGUAAACUCCUUUUAUAUAGGAAGAAGAUGACGGUACUAUAUGAAUAAGCGCCGGCUAACUCCGUGCCAGCAGCCGCGGUAAUACGGAGGGCGCAAGCGUUACUCGGAAUCACUGGGCGUAAAGAGCGUGUAGGCGGAUUAAAAAGUCAGAAGUGAAAUCCUAUAGCUUAACUAUAGAACUGCUUCUGAAACUCUUAAUCUAGAAUAUGGGAGAGGUAGAUGGAAUUUCUGGUGUAGGGGUAAAAUCCGUAGAGAUCAAAAGGAAUACCGAUUGCGAAGGCGAUCUACUAGAACAUUAUUGACGCUGAGACGCGAAAGCGUGGGGAGCAAACAGGAUUAGAUACCCCCGUAGUC